GUGAUGAGCAACAUUCACCAUCUUUCGUUUGAGUCUCACGGCCAUGAGAUCAACCCCAUGCACCGCUCUGAGACCUGCCAGCCACUCUUCCCCAGGGUUGGGGACUCCAGGCUCAAGAAGUGGAUUUCUAUUAGGCUAGAUUUUCAUUUAAACGUGAACUUAGCUCUGGCCGGAAGGUGGUGGUCGUACGCUGCGAAGGCAUCAACAUUUCUGGCAAUUUCUACAGAAACAAGUUGAAGUACCUGGCUUUCCUCCGCAAGCGGAUGAACACCAACCCUUCCCGAGGCCCCUACCACUUCCGGGCCCCCAGCCGCAUCUUCUGGCGGACUGUGCGAGGCAUGCUGCCUCACAAGACCAAGCGAGGCCAGGCUGCCCUGGACCGCCUCAAGGUGUUUGACGGCAUCCCACCGCCCUACGACAAGAAAAAGCGGAUGGUGGUUCCUGCUGCCCUCAAGGUCGUGCGUCUGAAGCCUACAAGAAAGUUUGCCUAUCUGGGGCGCCUGGCUCACGAGGUUGGCUGGAAGUACCAGGCAGUGACAGCCACCCUGGAGGAGAAGAGGAAAGAGAAAGCCAAGAUCCACUACCGGAAGAAGAAACAGCUCAUGAGGCUACGGAAACAGGCUGAGAAGAACGUGGAGAAGAAGAUUGACAAAUACACACAGGUCCUCAAGACCCACGGACUCCUGGUCUGAGCCCAAUAAAGACUGUUAACUCCUA